rnacentral:rRNA from 1 species
UACGAAGGGGGCUAGCGUUGCUCGGAAUCACUGGGCGUAAAGCGCACGUAGGCGGCUUUUUAAGUCAGGGGUGAAAUCCUGGAGCUCAACUCCAGAACUGCCUUUGAUACUGGCGACCUUGAGUCCGGGAGAGGUGAGUGGAACUGCGAGUGUAGAGGUGAAAUUCGUAGAUAUUCGCAAGAACACCAGUGGCGAAGGCGGCUCACUGGCCCGGUACUGACGCUCAUGAGCGAAAGCGUGGGGAGCGAUCCGG